UUAUUAAAAAAUCAUGUUACUUGUUAUUUUUUUUAGAACCAAAAUUCUUUAUCGAAGCUUUUUUUCUCUCUUUGAAACACCCAUUUUAUGAAACUUUUUUUUACCAAAUUCUUUAUUGAAGCCUUUUUUAUAGGUAGUUGGUGAAAAUAUUUUUUAUUAAUAGAAUAUUUUCCACUGUAUAUAUAUUACUUAGGGUUCGACUGGUGACAAUUUUAAAAAUAAGAGGAAUGAAUAGAAAAAAAACGUAAAGAAAUAAAAUUGCAGAAAUGAAAAAAAAAUGGAUGGAUGUUCCUUCUCAAAUUUAACAAAAAAUACUUUUGUUCUUUAUUUCUCUUUCGAGAAAAAGAAUGGUAAUUUUCAUACUCCCUUUUCAUUCAAGAAAAAUGAUGUGAGAAAAAAAUAUGGAUGUGCACUAAAGAAGAGGAGUUACAUUAAUGUCCUUUUGAUGUAAUUAUGGUCGAAUGGAUUCUCAUGAUAAUCUACAAGUUCCACUUGUAUCAGAGUUUUACUUUUUUUUUUGGGUUUUUAGUAAUUAAACCCCUCAACUAAAGAUG
rnacentral:lncRNA from 1 species